ACAGCCCGAGAUCCACACUGUGAGUAAAACCGCUGAGAGCACAGGAGCCCUUCUCAGUGAGACCUGCCGUGUGUGCUGCACUCCACAGGAUGCUCCUCGUUUUGAAGCAGGCAGGGACCCCCAGCACAGAGAAAGGGGGUCCCACUGCAGUUUGAGUAUUAAUCCCUGCUGGCAUCUGUAAAGCUAACUGGGAGCCGGAAAUCCCAAGGCUGUGAGCAUCAGAAGCGAUGAGGGAACUUGGUGGCAUCAUUUGGGCACUGAGAAAUGCUCAAAAUCUCCCUUCAGGCCUCGGAGAAACCUGGGAAGGACAAGGAAUAUUCUCCCAGUUUGCACUCCCUCUCCUCACAGGUGGAAGGAAAGAAAUGAAUGAACAGUAAAAGAAAUUAAAUACCAACAGCAAUUUGUUAAUUUUCCAGCCCUCCCCAGCCUAGCUUGGACUUGGGCACUGCUGAAAGUCAAUUUUUGAGGUGCCCCAGCUCCUGGUCUGCAGCUGGAAUUGCCACAGCAGCUCUCCUUGGAGAGGGGCAGGGAGCACGGGGAUGGCUCAGGCACAGGAGCUGCUCAG